rnacentral:misc_RNA from 1 species
GAUGAAGAACGUAGCGAAAUGCGAUAAGUAGUGUGAAUUGCAGAAUUCAGUGAAUCAUCGAAUCUUUGAACGCACAUUGCGCCCCCUGGUAUUCCAUGGGGCAUGCCUGUUCGAGCGUCAUUUGUACCUUCAAGCCUUGCUUGGUGUUGGGUGUUUGUCUCGCCUCUGCGCGCAGACUCGCCUCAAAACAAUUGGCAGCCGGCGUAUUGAUUUCGGAGCGCAGUACAUCUCGCGCUUUGCACUCAGAACGACGACGUCCAAAAGUACAUUUUUACACUCUUGACCUCGGAUCAGGUAGGGAUACCCGCUGAACUUAAGCAUAUCAAUAAGCGGAGGA